rnacentral:rRNA from 1 species
CAGCCGCGGUAAUACGGGGGGUGCGAGCGUUAAUCGGAAUAACUGGGCGUAAAGGGCACGCAGGCGGUGACUUAAGUGAGAUGUGAAAGCCCCGAGCUUAACUUGGGAAUUGCAUUUCAUACUGGGUCGCUAGAGUACUUUAGGGAGGGGUAGAAUUCCACGUGUAGCGGUGAAAUGCGUAGAGAUGUGGAGGAAUACCGAAGGCGAAGGCAGCCCCUUGGGAAUGUACUGACGCUCAUGUGCGAAAGCGUGGGGAGCAAACAGGAUUAGAUACCCUGGUAGUCCACGCUGUAAACGAUGUCGAUUUGGGGAUUGGGCUUUGAGCUUGGUGCCCGUAGCUAACGUGAUAAAUCGACCGCCUGGGGAGUACGGCCGCAAGGUUAAAACUCAAAUGAAUUGACGGGGGCCCGCACAAGCGGUGGAGCAUGUGGUUUAAUUCGAUGCAACGCGAAGAACCUUACCUACUCUUGACAUCCA